AACGAACGCUGGCGGCAUGCCUAACACAUGCAAGUCGAACGAGACCUUCGUGUCUAGUUGCGCACGGGGGCGUAACGCGUGGGAACCUGCCCGUAGGUUCGGAAUAACUCUUCGAAAGGGGUGCUAAUACCGGAUAAUGUCCUCGGACCAAAGAUUUAUCGCCUUUGGAUGGGCCCGCGUUGGAUUAGCUUGUUGGUAGGGUAAAAGCCUACCAAGGCUACGAUCCAUAGCUGGUCUGAGAGGAAGAUCAGCGACACUGGGACUGGGACACGGCCGAGACUCCUACGGGAGGCAGCAGUGGGGGAUAUUGGACAAUGGGCGAAAGCAUGAUCCAGCAAUGCCGCGUGAGUGAUGAAGGCCUUAGAGUUGUAAAGCUCUUUUACCCGGGAUGAUAAUGACGGUACCGGGAGAAUAAGCUCCGGCUAACUCCGUG
rnacentral:rRNA from 1 species